rnacentral:lncRNA from 1 species
GUAUAAAGUUUUCAUCAAGUCAAAUAUAUUCACUUUAAAGUGACUGUGCUUUAUUCUGAUACCAUGUCCUUCCUAAUUUGGGGGGCACAGCUGGAGAAAAUUCACUGGCAAUGGAAUAUUUAAAAUUAGAGCUUGCUUAGUGUGCUGCUUCUGAUCACUACUUGAUCCCACUUCGUGCUUUCAUGUUAAUUGGCCCAAUUGGACUCUACAGUUGGAAGGUGAAAACUUACUAUUUCAACUUGAGUCACGUAUGUAUUCUUAUCAUAUACUUCUUAAAGGUACUAUUUUUUUUCUUCUGAUAGUCACCACACCAAGCACUUCCAGCCACCCUGCCACAGACUUCCUUUGUAAUCACUGUUGAAGGACAUGAUGUUUUUA